CAGCCUUGAACAUGAAUUUGGGCAACCCAUUCCUAAUUAAAUUCCUAAUGAUCUUGUUCAGCUUGGAAGGUUCUGUGUCCGAGAAUGUCAAGAUUCACAGUUAUAUUGGAAACCAAAUUAUUCUUCCCAGACCCAGACCCAGUUCCAGACCACAUAUUUUAAUCUGGACUAAGGACUCAAUGUUUAUUGCAGAUCGUACAGCUAAUAAGAUUACUAUGUCAACAAAACAACCAGAUAAAUACCACUUAUUUCUUAAUGGAACUCUGAAAAUAAAUAGAUUGAAGAAAAUGGAUGCCGGAAAUUACACAGUAAAAGCAUAUAAUAAAUAUGGCCAGGAGUUAUUUAAUGAAUUAAUUAUGUUGCAAGUUGAUGAGCUUCCACUAAAACUCGAUGAGCUUUGUUCCCAAAGAAUAUUGACAUGUGAGGUGAAAUCUUCUGAGGAACCAAAACCCAAAUUUAAAUUGUUUCAAGAUAGUAAAGAAAUGUUUGUACAACCAGUAUAUGACAAUGGAACAUGGAAGGUGACAUUGCAAUUAAAAGUCCUUUCUGGAAAAUUCAGAUGUGAGGUUGAUGUUAAUUCUGGGAAGAAUCAUACCGAGAAACAAAUAACAUGUCCAGGAGAAGAUUUACCUGAUUCAGUACCUAUAUUCCUCAUCCUGAUAAUCAUGGGAAGUGUAGUCACAUUGAUGAUCUUUUUGGCUUUGAUUAUUUACUGCAUCAGAAGGAAGAACGCAAAAAGACGUGAAAGGGAAGCUGAAGAGUAUGCCCUGCAAAUCCAGAUUGAGAAUCACAUGCAACAAAGGAAACUUCCUGAGAUUUCUGUUUCUUCUGGCUGUAAUCCACAAUCUCAAAAAAGCAGGUUACCUCCUUCUGAACUGCAACAACAGGUUGCUCCCUCCAAAUCAUGCCCUCAUCCGAAACCACCUGACGCAUAAAAGAAAGACCUUAAGUGCCUUUGUGUUGUAUACUUAUCUCAGAGGAAAUACUUUUGCUUUCCAUAUUAGCAUUGCAAUGCCUGUAAACUUGGUUAGCCAGCCAACUCUGAGCAGGCUUAAAGUGUGGCUGUUGGCAAAUAGAUUAGAAACAACUAGAAAACUGGAAAAUGAGAAGAUUCAGAGUAACUUAUUAUUCCCACACAAAAAGCCAUGUAGGACUUCAUGAUUAGAGAGGCUUUGGCCUGUUUUAACGAUUGUAUGACUGCUGUUGUUUUCAAGCAAUAUCAACUAUGUUCCAAAGAUGUCAUGAAAGAGGAGCAAGAGGAACAAAUUACUUUAGUAAUUGGAAGAAAGAAGAAUAAUCCAGAGAUACAAUCAAGUGCAGAACAUUAUCAAGCCACUACAGUGAUUGCACAAGUAUUUCACAAUGCAAAGGAUUUAACUCUAAUUUUGGAAUAUAAACCUGAUACCAACUGUGUCUAUUAUAAAGAUUUAAUUACAAGUUCCAGAGUGUAAUUGAAAGAAGAGUUGCAAGUAAAUCAAUAAUCCUCAAGUGAACAAGUUUGGGAUUCGAACUUUAAAAUCAAAAUGGAAAUUGAUAAUAUUGACAUUUGUUUUAAAAAAUCAUAUUGGAGAAUCUUUUGAGAAACAGAGAAGUUUAUAUUUAAUAGGCAUUCCAAAGAAGGAAAGCAUUUUAUUUUAUGACUACAAACUGGAGGGAGCGAC